rnacentral:lncRNA from 1 species
CAGAUUUAGAUGAUACACCUACUAGUCCUAUUCAUAACUCAAGUAAUGCAGCGGCACACCCACCUGUAGAAACUCCAACUUUUAGUAGACAACCUGCUAAACAUACAGAAACAUCAUUUUUUGUUCACGUUUUUCAAUGCCUUUGAAAGAUUAUACACCUAACUGUACAUUUUGGUUAUGGAGAAUUUUGAAAAACCUCCUAUUGUCUUACUUUCUAUCGUAAAUGUUGCUUCAUUUCACUUUCAAUUUCACUUCUUCGUUUUUAAGAUAUUCAUUGAUAAAUUUUAGGAAGAAAGCUAACAUGUCAGAGUCUAAUAUAUUGCUUAUUCCGAUCUAUUUAAUUAUAUGGGGGUUAGACAA